UCUGUCCCUCCCCUGCUCAUGCUCUGUCUCUUUCUCAAAAAUAAAUAAACAUUAAAAAUUGUUUUAAAAGGAAUGAGUAUUUAUGAGAUUCAGAUUUCUAAAAACGGCAUCACUGGGUCCAAAGACACUCGCUGUAUAUCUAACUUGGAUUUUUCCUUUAAACUUGAAACCGACAUUUCCAAGCAAGUGCCCGUGGAUGCUUCCAAGAUGGUGAUCAGGCUAUUUCCAGGGCUGGAGUCCUCAGGGACCUCUUUUCAUGUUUGGCCAUUUCUGGUUGGCUCUCAUCCAGCUGCUGCCUGCCUGCUGCACUCCAGGCCAACUGGGAGCAGCAUUCUACAGGAUCAAGGAUCACAGGAACACCCAAUCCUUGGCCCUGGUCCCCUAGAAGCUCCAGGCCUUCACUGGUGUCCAAUGGGCCUGAGGGGCAAAAUCAGGCCCAGGAAGAUGGAUUUCCCCGGUCCCCUCAGCCCCAACCCAGCAGGGGAGGGAGAAGACUGCUUCAUUAUGUUUAAUGGGAUUAUUGGGGGGGAUAGUAGUCAUGGGGCAUUAGCUGCUAAUUGGGUCCAUAAUAAAGUUAAUAAAGCUCUUA